ACCUUCUUGUCAAAGCACUGUGCUAAAAUUACAGAAGCUGAGGCUGAGCUUUGGGUUCUGUAAUAAUGCUAGUAGAGUACACGCAAGAAGAAGAAAAAGGAUGCUCUGGAUCGAAAAUGACCGGGGUGGACCUCUUUCUUAAUGUCCGUUGUCCUGUGUCAGAAGAUCCGGUGCAACAGUU
rnacentral:snoRNA from 7 species